UGGAUCCAGACUUUGAUUAUGGCUCAGGACGAACGCUGGCGGCGUGCCUAACACAUGCAAGUCGAACGAAGCUUGACGGUAGAUUUCUUCGGAAUGAAGCCUGAUAUGACUUAGUGGCGGACGGGUGAGUAACACGUGAGCAACCUGCCUUUCAGAGAGGAAUAACGGCUGGAAACGGUCGCUAAUACCUCAUAAUGUAUAUUUAAGGCAUCUUAGAUAUACCAAAGAUUUAUCGCUGAAAGAUGGGCUCGCGUCUGAUUAGAUAGUUGGUGAGGUAAUGGCUCACCAAGUCGACGAUCAGUAGCCGGACUGAGAGGUUGAACGGCCACAUUGGGACUGAGACACGGCCCAGACUCCUACGGGAGGCAGCAGUGGGGAAUAUUGCACAAUGGGCGCAAGCCUGAUGCAGCAACGCCGCGUGAGGGAAGACGGUUUUCGGAUUGUAAACCUUUGUCUUUGGUGAAGAAGAAAGUGACGGUAACCAAGGAGGAAGCCACGGCUAACUACGUGCCAGCAGCCGCGGUAAUGCGUAGGUGGCAAGCGUUGUCCGGAAUUACUGGGUGUAAAGGGAGCGCAGGCGGGACUGCAAGUUGGAUGUGAAAUACCGAGGCUCAACCUCGGGGCUGCAUCCAGAACUGUAGUUCUUGAGUGAAGUAGAGGUAGGCGGAAUUCCGAGUGUAGCGGUGAAAUGCGUAGAUAUUCGGAGGAACACCAGUGGCGAAGGCGGCCUACUGGGCUUUAACUGACGCUGAGGCUCGAAAGUGUGGGGAGCAAACAGGAUUAGAUACCCUGGUAGUCCACACUGUAAACGAUGAUAGCUAGGUGUGGGGGGUCUGACCCCUUCCGUGCCGGAGUUAACGCAAUAAGCUAUCCACCUGGGGAGUACGGCCGCAAGGUUGCAACUCAAAGGAAUUGACGGA
rnacentral:rRNA from 1 species